rnacentral:rRNA from 1 species
GAGCGAGAAGGGGCUGCUCAUCAUGUCCACCGCGGGAGGCCCCCGGUUUGAAGAACCGGGGGCUAAGCGUGCGGUGGCCGAGAUGAGUAGCCCCGGACAGCGGCGAAAGGGAGAGUAACGCGUAGUUACCUGCCCCAGGGUCCGGAAUAGCCACGGGAAACUGUGGGUAAUGCCGGAUAACAUCUUCGGAUCAAAGGUGUGAUUCCGCCCUGGGAGGGGACUGCGUCCUACUAGCUAGUUGGCGGGGUAAUGGCCCACCAAGGCAACAAUGGGUAGCGGGUGUGAGAGCAUGACCCGUCUCACUGGGACUGAGACACUGCCCAGACACCUACGGGUGGCUGCAGUCGAGAAUCUUCGGCAAUGAGCGCAAGCUUGACCGAGCGACGCCGCGUGCGGGAUGAAGGCCCUCGGGUUGUAGACCGCUGUCGUAGGGGAGGAAAUCAACGAGGGUACUCCCUCGUAGUUGACCUAUCCUAGGAGGAAGGACGGGCUAAGUUCGUGCCAGCAGCCGCGGUAAUACGAACCGUCCAAACGUUAUUCGGAAUUACUGGGCUUAAAGGGUUCGUAGGCAGCCAUGUAAGUGGGGUGUGAAAUCCCUCGGCUCAACCGAGGAAUAGCGCUCCAAACUACAUGGCUUGAGGGAGACAGGGGUAAGCGGAACUGAUGGUGGAGCGGUGAAAUGCGUUGAUAUCAUCAGGAA